rnacentral:ribozyme from 11 species
GUAUUGUGUUUCCAUUUUUUUUUACUCUCUUAAUUCUCCACUUUUAGUGUUUUUUCUCGUCUAUUCUGUCCUUCAAGAAAGUUCUGCCCGUCAUUCACUGACGAAGGGAGAAGAUGCGACAGAACAUGCAUAGAUGCACGCGCAAAAAAAAUAUUUGUAUGUAAA